UACAAUCCUCUUAUUUACGCCUUCAUGAACAAACAGUUUAACGCCUGCAUCAUGGAGACUGUGUUCGGAAAGCAGAUUGAAGAGACUUCAGUUUCAGCCUCCAAGACUGAGGUCUCCACAGCAUAAACUGUGACGGUGGUCUCAGUCCAUCAGGAGCCCAUCCCCAACAGCCAACACCUGACCACCCCUUACCUCCACUGCUUCAUACCAGGAAGGUCCUACUGUCAGAGAACUUUUCCAAACUCCAUAGUAUUAUUAUCAUAAUCAGUGUGUGAUUUGUAUAGGGUUUGUGGUGGUAUUGUUGGCCAUUUUAUUUCUUAUUCAUAUGGGAUCACCCCUUAGCACACCAUGAGAGCCAAAAAGGGGUUCAUUUUCUCCUGCUCUUUCUUUCUCUUCCUCCUAUCCACCUCUCUCUCUCGCCUCUCCUCUCCCCCACAAAUCACACCCUGUUUAAGACCGUAAUGAAUCAUGUACAUUUCAUUCUGAAUAUUGACCGAACCUUUCUGAUGAUGGCAUAUAUUAGCUUACUAAAGCUGCAGUCUAAAAAUAGCAAUGCAUGAAAAAAAAAUGAAGAAAAAUAUGAGUUUAGCACUUUUAUUUUUGUAUCUCCAGAAUGGGGGGUCUUGGGGUGGAUUCAAUAAACCAUCUAAGGUUCCCCAACACUUGAUUGAAAAUGUGAGUUCAGGGCAAAUAGGGUUUAUUGAAUCUACUCCUUGAUGAAAUACUCAAAAUGUUGAUUUAUUGUAACAUAUCUAAGGUAAAUAAAGAUUUAUAUUGUAUUAUGAUGCACUUUUA